rnacentral:rRNA from 1 species
CGGGAAAAGCUCAAAUUUAAAAUCUGGCGGUUCUGCCGUCCGAGUUGUAAUUUAGAGAAGCGUUAUCCGCGCUAGACCGUACACAAGUCUCCUGGAAUGGAGCGUCAUAGAGGGUGAGAAUCCCGUCUUUGGUACGGACUGCUAGGGCAUUGUGAUACGCUCUCAAA